rnacentral:rRNA from 1 species
UACAGAGGUCUCAAGCGUUAUCCGGAUUCACUGGGUUUAAAGGGUGCGUAGGUGGGUUGGUAAGUCAGUGGUGAAAUCUCCAGGCUUAACUUGGAAACUGCCAUUGAUACUAUCAAUCUUGAAUACCGUGGAGAUGAGCGGAAUAUGUCAUGUAGCGGUGAAAUGCUUAGAUAUGACAUAGAACACCAAUUGCGAAGGCAGCUCGUUCACGAAUAUUGACACUGAUGCACGAAAGCCGUGGGAUCAAACAGG